rnacentral:lncRNA from 1 species
UGCGAGCUAGCACUCCCGAGGAUCCUGAUCAAUAUCCGUUCUUUGUGUGGAUGAUCUGUAGAGGUCAGACUCCUUUGUGCGGCUGCGAGCAACCUGAAGGAACUCAUUUUCAUGCAAAACACUUGUGGAGAUCAGCAACCCAUACUUCGAUAAUGAGUUCUGAACUCGUUAUAAUAGUUUUGAUUAGAUCUAAGGGUUAG